AUGGAUUGUGAUGGGGGCUGAUGCUGGUGGCCAUUUCUUGGCUGCAUUGUGCUCGCUUCUUAGCAAUAUUUGUCCAAACACUUGUGCACCUUUAUGAGGGGUUUCCGAGUUUGAUCUUGGAUAACCCCUCUUCACAUACCCUAAUAUCUUAAUGUUGAAUGUACAUGUGCCACUAUGGCCUUAAUAUAUAAUA
rnacentral:misc_RNA from 1 species